AGAUUCUGCUAGUAGCAGCUGAACAUUCUGGAAGAUUUAACACCCAGCAACAUAACCAACCUAUCAGGCGGCUUGCUCUUGCCUGAAGACACUGGCAAUGGAAUAGAACAAGAUGGAGCACGAAGAAAGGUUCUCUGUUUUAUUGCGUGCACCAAAUUAUCUUCUAAACAGAAGCACAUCUUAAGACUUCAGGCAACUUGUACAGAAAUCCAAGAGUGAAUACAGUAGCCCAUUGGAGAGCAUGAGUUUGAUGCGGUAUAUAUUGAAUUCUUCUGCAUGAUGCUCACAACACCCCUCUGAAGUGGCUUAUGUUGCAAUGGGACACCAGACUCAAAGUCACCCAGUGAGCUUCAUAGCUGAGCAGAGAUCUGAACUCGGGUCUCCCACACACUUUAUUUACUACACCACCAUGGAAUCUCUCCACUACAAGGUCCACAGAAAAGGAAGGACAUUCAGAACCAAUGCAGCCCAGUAGCUAGAGUGCUACAUCACUUUCAUAAAGACAUGGCCUAAAUUGGGGUUUUGAAUUUCUAGAGUCUAAAAUUCAAAUGUAAAAUCUACAUUGGGCAGAAUGUAAAUAUGAUGUUCUAAAUAGCCUUCUUCUACAUUCUAUCCUGUUUUAGCAACAUAUGCCUGUAUAUUUGCAGGUCAAGUGACAUGUUACAUAUUAAGUACAUGCUUAAUGUGAAUGUGUUUGUUUUAAACUAAAUAUCAACUGGAUUACCACCACCCGCCUGCCCCCCCCCCCACACGGACCAUGAUAUGUGUGUGGUGGGGGGGACUUUAACCCUAUCCCUGCCGCAGUCCCACUCUGGUUCUGCUCCUCUCCCAUUGGCACCAAUGCCCUAUUUGUCCCUGCCUCCUGUGUUAGUAUUUACCUUGCAAUAUCAACAUUAACCCUUUCAGCAGGUGCCUCUGUUGUGUUUUUGAAGCCCAGGGCCAUUUAGUGCCAUGGAUGUAUUUCUCCCAAACAAAUCUCAAACAAAUUAAAAGAUAAACCCUUCUAAUACA